rnacentral:rRNA from 1 species
GACGGAGGGUGCUAGCGUUGUUCGGAAUGACUGGGCGUAAAGGGCGCGUAGGCGGCUCGUGAAGUCGGGUGUGAAAGCCCGGGGCUCAACCCCGGAACGGCAUCCGAUACUGGCGGGCUUGAGACCGGGAGAGGAGGGUGGAAUACCCAGUGUAGAGGUGAAAUUCGUAGAUAUUGGGUGGAACACCGGUGGCGAAAGCGGCUCUCUGGCCCGGAUCUGACGCUGAAACGCGAAAGCGUGGGGAGCAAACAGG